UACGUAGGUGACAAGCGUUGUCCGGAUUUACUGGGCGUAAAGAGCGCGCAGGCGGUCGUUCAAGUCGAGUGUGAAAGCCCCCGGCUCAACUGGGGAGGGUCACUCGAUACUGAUCGACUCGAAGGCAGGAGAGGGAAGUGGAAUUCCCGGUGUAGUGGUGAAAUGCGUAGAUAUCGGGAGGAACACCAGUGGCGAAGGCGGCUUCCUGGCCUGUUCUUGACGCUGAGGCGCGAAAGCUAGGGGAGCAAACGGG
rnacentral:rRNA from 1 species